CAGCGACAGCGCGUCGAGAUGGUCUCC
rnacentral:sRNA from 1 species